UGUAGUUAUCAGGCUAUGAGAUACUGUGUGUGUGUGUUGUGUGUGUGUGUAUACACACACACACACACACACACACACACACAAACAGUAGUGCAAUUA